GUCGGUUCACACAGUUCACUGCAAACAUUUGAUAAUGAGGCUAAAUAUACUCCCGCGUCGGAGGAGGCGUGGGCGGCCCGAUCGCGUGGGCACUGCGCUCGGGGCUCCGCGGGGCGUCCCCUCCCAGGCCCAGGAGACAGAGGCGCGGACCCCGGGACAGAGGCUGGCUUUGUGCGGGAGGGAGACGCGCCCCGCGCGCCGCCCCCGAAACAUUCCCACCCCAGGCUGCGGCGCACGUCUGGGAGGCCGUGGGCGCCCCGAGGGGCAUUUGUACGUGGGGUGUACAGGCAGGAACAGGAAAGAAGCGGUGGCCACCCAGGAACAGUGGUUGCAGUCAACACUCCCGAUCCCCAGUUCCAAGGUUCGAGGAGGGGACACAGAAAUGAAAUUGAAAAUAGCACACGAGCCCACAAUCGUCGUGUGAACAUUUUGUGAAUGAAGACAUGUAUGAAAGGACGUUUGGCAGCUUCAAGAAACGAAAGCCGAGAGUCUAGCUAGACCAGGACCAUCCAGCCCAGAAGCGACGGCCAUGCGUGGCCACUGGGCACGAGUGAUGUGGCCGGUCCAAACUGCACAGUACA
rnacentral:lncRNA from 1 species